CUUGACCAUAUUCUGAGUGGAUAAUGUCAAGCCAAAAUGUUGCUACCAGCUCAAAUGAUGUAACGAAAACUUCAGUCGAGUUCAUUAGCAGACUUUGUGUGUUGGAGGGGUCUCCUUACCAAAAUUAUGUGCACGCCAUAUGAAAACAGAGAAGGCUGGAUCGUGUGUGUAACUAAGUUCAAGAACACAUACUACAUGUGUGAGUUUGAAACAGAUAAGCGAGUGAAAGACCGAGAGCGUGAGACAGAGAGACAAAAGGAGAUGUCCUUUUGGGGGUUUAAAUUUGAACAAUACUUAACCGCAGGUGAUCGACAUAUGAAACCUGACACCUCAAAGCCAGUGAAUAACAAUGAGGCGUAUUGUACGGUUGUGCGCACCAGCCUGGCGUCGCACUCGUUACUGUUUGCUGGUGAGGUGGACUGCCUUGAUGCCAAAUCCAGCGCACCAAAACCGGGCUGUUACGUGGAACUGAAAACAUCGAGAAUGAUUGAGCACCAGGGACAUGAUAGAAGUUUUAAAAAGUUCAAGUUGAUCAAGUGGUGGUUGCAGUCAUUUCUCGUCGGCAUUCCGCGAAUCAUCUGCGGAUUCCGGACAGACGAAGGCGUCGUCACAUCGUUGCAGGAAUACGGUGUUGCUGACAUACCGAAAAUUAUACGCAGCUUGGGAUAUUUGGCAUGGCAUCCAACGGCAUGUGUGAACUUUUGUGAUCAUUUCUUGACGUUUGUGAAGACGGUUGUUGUUGAAGAUGAUUCAAGUGUUAUCUACAAGUUUGAGUGGAGUGCGCAACAAUUUGCACUAAGGUGGGAGAAACUGCACCAGCCCUCUUCAUUUGGGUUUCUCCCCGAUUGGUACAUCGGUCUGCAGCAUUAAGAAUACAAUCAGGGUUGGGAGCUGAGGUCGCAUGAUCGUAUGAUUGCCAGUCAUUGCAUCUACCACCCAAGGAGGCCUAUAGGAAUCGAUAUAUCGGCACGCAGCGUAAUUGCCGGCAUAAAGAGACACUGUGAAUUCAAGAAUGAUGCUUGGGAACUAUUUGCGCUAGCGUAGGGCUACUGCUAGCUAUGUAACAAAACCACGUCCGACAGUUUUCAAAAUAGUCAACUUCGGAGCACACUUCUGGCUCAAUGAGAACAUUUCGUGAUGGUUGCACACUGCAAGUAUGUUCACUGUAGGUCUAUAAGAUCUUUUUGUUGCGAGGUUUCUCCGUUUUAAGGGGGUUGUGUGCCGAAUGUAGUGUAGGGGAGAAUGCACCUCUUCUGCAUUGAUCUACUGUAUUCUGUCAGAUUUUAGAUGUUAGGAAAAAGCAAAAAGUGGUAGUGACACUUUCUCGAAGUUUGUAAAUCGAGGUUUAUUGCAACUGAGAUGAAUAUUCCCUUGUAUUAAAAGAAUUUUAAGUGUCUGUGAUGUGGUAUUUGAUCCAUGGAGGAUUAAUUGUGAGAUGGUGAAUAUCAAAGCGAAAUAAAGGUGAUUUGCGUCAA
rnacentral:misc_RNA from 1 species